GUGGUCUUUUAAAACGACAAAACUUAAAAUAGCAUCAGGUUAUGCACGGGUUGGGGAUGCGGCUCGGUGCAGGGGUUCUUCCUUUUUGCUGCCCUCCAUGGCAAGAGUAAAGGCGAAGAGGAAGCGGCGAGAUCGUUAAGGGAUUGAGAGAAUUUUAAGCCCAUCGAGAUGGAGCAUAUCUCGGUGACAGCAGAUCUGGCUAUCGUGGGCAACUGGCAGGUCUCUUUCUUGUUGUUCUGUUUCAAGCUGAGUCAGUGUCAGCGUGGGGAAGCAAUUAAAUGUGCUCUGCAGGAUUUUCAAGCUAAUCGUCUAUGGGUUGAAGAAUAUACACGUAGGGACGCAGGUGAUUUUUGCUUUUAAAGCUACACAUAUAAGAAGGCCAGGAAAUAAAGUUGCGGACUGGCUAGCAGAUCAAGCUUCUGAAGAACAAUUCAGAAUCACUGAUCACUAUACUUAUUCUGUUCCAAAUGUUUUGGCUAAUAUCUUGUAUAAUGAUGUGCAUACUGUAAUGGACUUCUCAACAGUGGUGCCUCCUCCUUGUACGUAAAAAAGAAAAAAACAAGAAAAACGGAAGAUGCGGGCAGGUAAUGAUUGGAUUGGAUCAAAUACAGUAGAAUCAACAAACAAAACUUGCAUCAACCAGGACAAAAUGGUUUGAAAUGAAAACCUAAGAAGGAAUGUUUUAUUUAA